rnacentral:rRNA from 1 species
UAAAGCGAAUAAGGGCGCAUGGUGGAUGCCUAGGAUCUAAGAGGCGAAGAAGGACGUGGUAAGCUGCGAUAAGCUACGGGGAGAUGCAAACGAUCGUUACAUCCGUAGAUUUCCGAAUGGGACAACCCGGCACGCUGAAGGCGUGUCACUCUGAAAAGAGAGCCAACGCAGGGAACUGAAACAUCUAAGUACCUGCAGGAAAAGAAAAUAAAUAAUGAUUCCCUAAGUAGUGGCGAGCGAACGGGGAAGAGCCCAAACCGGAUCGAAGCAAUUCUAUCCGGGGUUGUAGGACUACUUUUAGAAAGUCAGAUCAAGUUGAAUCAUCUGGAAAGAUGAGCCGCAGCAGGUGAUAGCCCUGUAGACAGAAAUUCUGAUGGACGUGUAGUAUCCUGAGUAGCGCGGGACCGGAGGAAUCCUGUGUGAAACUGCCAGCACCAUCUGGUAAGGCUAAAUACUCCUUAGAUACCGAUAGUGAACCAGUACCGUAAGGGAAAGGUGAAAAGUACUCCGAACAGGAGAGUGAAAUAGUUCCUGAAACCGUGCGCUUACAAGCGGUCGGAGCCCGCAAGGGUGACGGCGUGCCUUUUGCAUAAUGAGCCUACGAGUUACUCCUCACUGGCAAGGUUAAGGUCUUCAGUACCGGAGCCG